rnacentral:rRNA from 1 species
UACGGGGGGAGCAAGCGUUGUUCGGAUUUACUGGGCGUAAAGGGCGCGUAGGCGGCGUGACAAGUCACUUGUGAAAUCUCCGGGCUUAACUCGGAACGGUCAAGUGAUACUGUCGUGCUAGAGUACAGAAGGGGCAACUGGAAUUCUCGGUGUAGCGGUGAAAUGCGUAGAUAUCGAGAGGAACACCUGCGGCGAAGGCGGGUUGCUGGGCUGACACUGACGCUGAGGCGCGAAAGCGUGGGGAGCGAACAGG